AAUAUUGCACAAUGGGGGAAACCCUGAUGCAGCGACGCAGCGUGCGGGAUGACGGCCUUCGGGUUGUAAACCGCUUUCAGCAGGGAAGAAGCCGUAAGGUGACGGUACCUGCAGAAGAAGUACCGGCUAACUACGUUCCAGCUGCCGCGGUAAUACGUAGGGUACGAGCGUUGUCCGGAAUUAUUGGGCGUAAAGAGCUCGUAGGUGGUUGGUCACGUCUGCUGUGGAAACGCAACGCUUAACGUUGCGCGUGCAGUGGGUACGGGCUGACUAGAGUGCAGUAGGGGAGUCUGGAAUUCCUGGUGUAGCGGUGAAAUGCGCAGAUAUCAGGAGGAACACCGGUGGCGAAGGCGGGACUCUGGGCUGUAACUGACACUGAGGAGCGAAAGCAUGGGGAGCGAACAGG
rnacentral:rRNA from 1 species